GCAAUACGCGCACGUUAACCGACCGCUGGGGUGAAUGAAUGUCUUUUGAAUCGGGCGCCAUACCAGUGUGGCCAUUCGGGCACAGUGCUCCCGGCGCGGAACUGAAAGCACUAAAUUUAGGAUUUUUAUAAAUAAACAUCAAUGUUUACAAGAGCGUAUUGUUUAUAAGUCGCUUAUAAAUAAUCGCGUGUGCUGUGCGACCGGACAAGUGAUGUUUCAGUGCAUUAUACAACAGAGAAAUGGUUGGAUACAUCCGCUGAACACAGAAAACAGAGACGUCUUUCCCGAUAUGAGGCUCCAAUUGAACGAACAGUUAAGAUGCCUGGACGUGAGGAUGGAGGCCCAGGUGGCCCUACUCACCGAGCUCCAGGACUUCUUCCGCCGCCGAGGUGAGUUAGAACUUGACUAUUCGAAAAAUCUCGACAAGCUCGCCAAAAGUUUGCAACUGAGGCACAAAGAACAGAAACAAAAACGCGAACAGUGGCCGCUGUUCUCCACUUACACCUGCUGGCAAGAGUUGGUCACGCAGACCAAGAACCUGAGUAGGGACCAUGCGGCUCUUUCAGAGGUCUACUCUAACCUUUUGGUCUCCAGAAUCUCACAGGUGAUGGAAGACGUGCAACGAAUAUACAGGAGGUGCAGAGAAAUCGCCUACGAAACCCAUGAGGAAAUUUUACGAGUCCUUCAUGAACUGCACACGACAAUGAAAACCUACCACAGCUAUCAGGCUGAGCUGAGGCAGACGGAGACCAAGUUGCGGACUGCCGAGGUCCAACGAGCCAAGUUGGAGCAGAGUCUGACACAGGACAAGUUGGAAAAAUCGAAAAAAUACAAAAUGAUCGAGAAGGAAGUGCAGAAACGCACAAACAAAUAUUCAGAUGCCAAGCUUAAAGCUAGGAGGGCCAGGAACGAAUAUAUCUUGUGUUUGGAGGCCUCAAACACCACCAUACACAAGUACUUCGUUGACGACCUGUCUGAUUUGAUUGACUGCAUGGACUUUGGCUUUCACAAUUGCAUAUCUAGGGCCCUACUUAUGCAUGUGACCGCCGAAGAAGGCAGACAAAAAUCCAUACAAAGUGGAUUGGCCACAAUUACAUCAUGCAUUAACUCGUUGGAUUCGAGAUUGGACAAACAAAAGUUCCUGGAGUGCAACCACAGUGCGUUCAUGAUCCCCAAAAAAUUGGAGUUUCAGGAACAGAAAACCGAAGGUGGGCCCGAAAUGCCCGACAUACAGACCAUGUUGCACAGAGACAUGGCAACCAGAUUGUCCCAGCUCGGACAGAGGGUGACGACGCUCAGAACGGAAUCCGAAGAGGUUUGGAAAACGUUGGAAACUGCAGAGAAUACGUUGAUGGAGAUGCUGAAUGCCAAGGACUACGAUUGCAGUGGAUAUUUCGGUGACAAUUUGCCGGCAAGUAAGUCACCAGAAACGGUUUCGAUUAAAUUAAGAGCAGACCGCCAGGAAACUGAAGAGUUUUACCUGGCCAAAUUUCGAGAAUAUCUACUGGGCACCACCAGAAUAGCCAGAUUGGAGUCCAAACAGGAGUACUUGCGCAACGUGCUGCUCGAAGAGGCACCCGACUUUUGCACAACGAUCAAACCUGUGACAAAAACUCCGAAACGCAAACGAAUAGGCAGACUGCAAAUUAGCGGCCAGCCCAAACUGUUCGGCGGCUCGUUGGAGGAGUAUCUCGAAGCGACCAACCAGGAAAUCCCGUUAAUAAUGAGGUCCUGCAUAAGGGUGAUAAACUUGUACGGUUUGCAUCACCAGGGUAUAUUCAGAGUGUCCGGUUCGCAGGUCGAAAUAAACAAUUUCCGGGAGUGGUUCGAAAGGGGUGAAGACCCCCUCGCGGAUAUGACAGACGCUUCCGACAUCAACAGUGUGGCAGGUGUGUUGAAACUCUAUUUGCGCGAGUUAAGGGAACCGCUCUUCCCCAUCAUCUAUUUCGAACAGUUCAUGGACAUGGCCCAGUUGGAGUGCAAGGACGAGUUUGUCAGUAGGAUGAAGGAACUGGUGAAAAGUCUACCCACACCCGUUAUGGUGGUGCUGAGGUACCUGUUCGCCUUCCUGAACCAUCUCUCCGAAUUCUCCGACGAAAACAUGAUGGAUCCCUACAAUUUGGCCAUAUGUUUCGGGCCCACUCUGGUCCCGGUACCCGACGAUAAGGAUCAGGUCCAGUACCAGAAUCUGGUCAACGAACUCAUAAAAAAUAUAAUCAUAUUCAACGAAGACAUAUUCACGUUCGAGGGUGGCGUCGUCUACGAAAAGUACAUUUCGCCGCGUGCCGACGACCAGGACGUGGGCGACUCACCCUCUAUAAUACAGAACCCCGAGGAAGACACCGAAUCGGAGGUCUACCCGUCGGAGGACGACUCCGACAUCAUUGAAGCAAUGGCUCAAUACGAUUUUAUCGCACGCUCAGACCGAGAACUAUCGCUCAAAAAAGGGGACUCCGUCAUCCUGUACGCACAAGUCUCCAACGACUGGUGGCGGGGUUCCGUCAACGGUCAGGAAGGACUCAUACCCGACAAGUAUAUCUCCCUAAAAAUGAAAGACGACGACAAGGAGAAAUCCAUAUUGAAGAGCAGCUCGUCCGAGGAAUCGGUGAAAAAGCGGAGGGCUUCCAGCACCACCGAACCAGUCCUAUCCGACAAUUCGCCUUCAGCAAGCAAUACCAGUUCGCCCAGGGUGCAGUGCACGUGGACCAAAGUACCCGACAUCCUGAAGACGAUCGCCCCAGAUAACAAUACUUCGAUCAUUUUCAAUCAGAGCCGAGAGGUCUCAUAAAAUCUGGAUCGGAAAAUGAAACGUAAUGAAUUUGAAACUUCCUACUAAAUCCGUAAGCGGAAUCACGAAAGUUUCAUCCGUGAAGUAUAUCCAGGACCCAGGACGAUCCUCUGCCAAACCUGUUUGCUCAACGCCAUCGAAAUUCUCCGCCGAUCUUCCCGUUCGUUCCAACAUGAAUAAUCCGUUUGUUCACACCAGUGAAAUUGUGUUUUGCUUUAAGUGCAUGUACAGAUUAUUUCAGCGACACCUGGAAGUAAACAGAUCUGGGGUGAACGAGAACACAAUGAAUCGCCACAGCCUGGGUCCAAACCGCAUUCUCAACUUUACGAUUAAUGUUUAGACAUAGGAUUAAACGGAUUUUUUUUGACUUAUUUCGAGAACUGAGUUUUGUUCAAUUUGUUUUGUGAUCAUUUAGACUGAUUGAAUUUUAUGAAUGGUUAUAUAAACUGAUAUUUGCAUUUGUUCUUUGUUGUUAAGAUUUUCUGAACGGCCUAGUCAUGUUAAAAAUACUCAUUUAAACAUGUACCCACUAUUUAUUAUGUAGCGUCCCAGGCAGUUCUUGCAAUAAGUCACUCAGUGUUUUCUUUCAAAGAGGUCUUUAAACGCAAGACUUGCUGUUAAAUCAAAAGGAUUCAAUAGCACAGUGUUCUGGUGUAACACUGUACUUGAUUUGUGUAUCCAUUCUUGAUUGGGACCCUCUUAUUGGAACAAUAAUCAAAAAUGUAAUCCCAUAUAUAUAUAUAUAUAUAUUUAUAUUUAAAAAGUAUUUUUAAUCUUGAUCAAUAUCGUAUUUUUUCUAAAUGUUUUUACAUAAGUGAGUGUUUUUUUGCAUAAUUACGUCAAUAAAGUAUUUUUACAAUCACA